UUCUUUGCACCGUGAGCUGCUGACGUUGUCGGCAAUCCUCCCCCAGUAGUCAUGAUCUGAAAGACUACGACACGGAUUUCCGUGUAGAUCGAACCCAAGAUCGCACCAGCUUCCGGUAGCGCGAUCAAUCAACCACAGGUUGAUGGAAGC
ncrna:Pseudomonas aeruginosa PA7 radC RNA